rnacentral:lncRNA from 1 species
GUUAUUUGUCAAAAUACCUUGAUAUAUGACUUAUAAUAUCUACUAUAUAAAAAUUGUUCUGUGAUAUACCUUCAAGAAAAAAGUAAACCAAAUAAAUAUAGAAAAGAAGUUUGGUGUGAUUUUCGAUGAGAUUCUUUCACAAGAGACCUUAUAACACAAAAAUUAACAGCUAUAAAUUUUCAAACAGCCUUCAUAAAAAAAAAACCAUAGCCCCUACCACAGUCAGCUACAAUAGGCCUUGAAAUAAGAAAUGUAAACAAUACAAACGAAAAAAGGAACGACCUGAUUAAUGUACCCAAAAAGAAACGAAAAAUCUAUCAUGCAACACAGCAACAACCAUUGAAUUACAGGCAG